rnacentral:tRNA from 1 species
GCGAAGGUGCCGGAGUGGCCAAACGGGGUAGGUUCAGGACCUACUGGCUUAGCGCCUACGCAGGUUCGAAUCCUGCCCUUCGCA